AAAUAAUUGAUAACACUAUCAGGAAAACAAUCCCAUGGACCACUUGGUUACUAAUUAAAAAAGACUAAUGAUUCUCAAUUUCAAUUGCUAUUCCUUCAGGAGAAAAUGAAGGAAGAUAUCAACGUUGCAACAGUUACUUUCCAUCAACAAUUGCUCAUUUAUUUUACCUCCUACAGCUGUGGUAGUAUGCACAACACAGUGGUUUCUCCUCGGCAUCAGUUCAAAAGAAGCUCAAAAACAAAUGAAAGAAAAUACGAGUUCCAUGUCUGAAGUGAGGAGAUUAAGGGAUACUGGACAACUCAUCUCUGAAGAAACUUCAGAGAGCUUUAUUUUUGGCAGCUGGACGGUUGUUCCAAUAGUGCUGUGCAGCUUGCUGGAUGGAGGAGGAUAUUGACUGAUGUGACACCUGCUUGCUGUGAGUCUUACUCUGGUUCCUCUGCAACUUCUCUACAGUGUUACAAAAUAAAGUUGAUGGCACAGGACCUCAGUUUUGAAGUUAAUGUUUGGUGCCUGGGACAUCUCAAAAUUCAAGAGCUGAACUUUUUGGGAUGAAAAUCUUCGGAGAGAAUCAGGCAUUGAUCUAUUAUUUUCUUAGUCAGAGCUUCCACCAUGAGGCUGCCAAAGAAAUAAAUGUCACCUUCUUCACUUUCUUCAGAUGCAGUUUUUGGAAGUGAUAACUGGAACUGCAGUCUGUGAUAUAUAAAAUAUAAGUGUACAUUGGAUUGAGCUCCCGAAAAGGAUUUUGGUAAUGGGAUGUCCUGUUUCUGGAUCCUGUUUAGGCAAUGGGAUUUAGGAUGCUCUACCUAUUAAGAUAGAUACUGUUGCAAUGCAUAUACAGAAAUGAAAUUUUAUGAUUUAGUUCUGAACAACAUUGAGGCACUGAGGUAUAAUCAGCUAGUAAUAGUUGAAAGCAUUGUUUUUCAGAGUAACAGAUUUGUAUUCAAAUAUAUGAAUUCUAACCCACUCCCACUUUGAGUGAUUUGCUAUCUGAGUGAGCAGCAGGAAAUCUUGCAGAUAUUUUUCACUGCAGCAUCCUGAAGAAGCUCAUACUAUUUUCUUUUUUUGUCGUCUUCUUGGUUUUACAGACAUAAUAUAUCCCUAUAUGUUUCUCCAGCAGAACUACAGAUGUCUCCCAUUACUUUUCUACAGCAACAUGGGUUAGAGCUUUCUCUAUAUGAAAAAAAAAAAAAAAAAUGCUAUAAGCCUCAUUUUCACAGUGGUUAUAAUGAUUGUCUUCAAUAGGGCAAUCCUUGCUGCAAGCAUUUCACGACAGUCUCAGUGAGCACAACGCAAAGUCUUUUAAUGCCUCAUCUUCAGGGUGUGGUAAGAUGAUGGGUAUUACAUGAUGCCUAGAAAGAAAUACCUAAUUUUGACCUUUUCAUUGUUUUCAUUAGGAAGGAAGCAAACAAAAAUAUUCUUUUUCUUUUUCCUUUUCCUUUUCCUUUUCCUUUUCCUUUUCCUUUUCCUUUUCCUUUUCCUUUUCCUUUUCCUUUUCCUUUUCCUUUUCCUUUUCCUUUUCCUUUUCCUUUUCCUUCUCCUUCUCCUUCUCCUUCUCCUUCUCCUUCUCCUUCUCCUUCUCCUUCUCCUUCUCCUUCUCCUUCUCCUUCUCUUUCUUUUUCCUUUUCCUUUUUCUCUUUAAAUAAUAACCUGGAAGUAUGGUUGUGCAAAAGCAGAAAUUUUGUUCAAAGAAAGAUUUCCUUUGAGCAAAAAGUACAUUUUAAAGAAAUAAAUUUGACCAUUUUUAGUAACUUACAUGAAAGAAAGAAGAGCUACUGUGAACAGGAAUUCUGAAUUUUUAUGAAUGCCAAUGGUGCUGCUAAAUUAAAAUUUUUCAACUUUUUCCCUUAGUUGGAUCAAAUGUGUUUAAAUUUAUAAAUUAGUAACCAGUUAUUUACAGACAACAAUUUGAAAAUAAAUCAGAGAAAACCAGUAGCAUUUGCCUCAGUACUACUAGAAAGACUGAAUGUAUACCUAGUCACAUUAAGAAAACAGUUACAAGGACCUACAAAACUCAUGCUGACAUUUAGACAGAAAGAACAUAAGCAUCUUUAGGCAAACAAAUUAGUAAGUCUAGCUAUGAAUAGUAAAGCCUCCCACACUAUCUCUGAAUCAGUUACCAACUUGCCUAGUAUAUAUCUGAUGGGCAGCCAAAUGGGAUGUUAUAGAAUGAGCAGCAAACCCUUGAAUAAAAAGUGGACACCCAAGGUGCCAUUUUGAUUAGUAUCUAUCUAUUAAGAUAGUUAGAGGUUUUUUCCUCUUUAAGCUGAUGUAACAUCAGAGAAAGAAGUCUUUGACUUGACCAGAAAUCCUUGACUUGGUUCUUAGAAACCUGAGGAGCACUAGAGUUUAGGCUGGAGAUAUGAAACUUUUUGUGGAAAACUACCACUAUUCUAUCAGAACUUAGCAAAAAAUUCAUUUUGUCAUGUUGAGUGGUGAAUUUUUUGUCCUAACACAUACAGGUUUUGGAAAGCUAUAAAGAAGAAACUUCACUCAACCCAGCUUGCUCCAUCAGUCUAGGAAAAAGCUAUUAGUGUGAAAAGAAAUUCCAAAAGUUUUAGGAGUUGAGAUUCACCUAAAAAUUUAUAUCUGCUAAGUAGAGUGAAAAUUUGAGGAGGAGUACAACUGAAAAGCAGGAACGCAAAUAAAUGUUAUUUCUGUAGAAGUUCAUGGGACUUUUGCUUGCAUGGAAGCCCAAAAGAGUCUGUAGAAUGUUGCCAGUACAUUCAGAAUAAAAUAGGAAUUUUAGAAAAGCAGAAGGAUUUGGCAAUGUCAUGUCCAGGAAUGAAGAAUAAUCAGAAUAAAUUAAGUAGGUCAUGGGAUGGACAGACUCAUAUAAUUACAAUGAAAUCAUAAUAUAAAUCAUUGGAGAACCAGCAGUGGUAAACACUGUUAGGUGGUUUUUUUUAUUGUUGUUUUUUGUGUAUGUGUGUUUGUUUUUGUGGUUUGUUUUUUUUUUCACUGAGGUAGCCAUAUUACAAGCAGGCAGCAUGAAUUACUUUAUUGAAUAUUCAAAGAUGUUUUGAAUACCCUGUAACUUCUUAUGAGAUUAUCAACCACCAUUUUCAGAUGUGCCUUAGGUCACUAAAAUGAUACACAGGACAUCAUUAUGCUUCCUAAAUGAUCUCAAUGCAGCAAUUUCAAUACAGUAGUUUGAUAACCAAUUAAGUGGCAUUCUAAACAUUUUAAGUUUUUCAUAUUUUCAAAAAAUCUCAGUAAGUGAAUAGUGCUAUGUAGUCAAUUUUUAACCCUCACGUGUAAUGACUGGUAAAGGAAGAUGAUUAAAAUCAACCUGGAAUGGUUUGGAUGUGCAAAAAUGUCAAAAUAUCAUGAGAUUAUGUACAGUCUUUAACUAAUGGACCAGUAAUUUGUAGUGAGAGUCAUGAGGCCUUCUGUUAUACAGACCUUUUGUUGAUUUGUCAGGGGAAAACUUUCUUCAGUACUUUUCUUGUAUGAUAUAAAUAAUCAUCACAGGUAGCAGUAAAUAAUUCUUGACUCUAGUUACCUAAAUGAACUUACUGAAACUUAGUGAAACAUCUGUAACAACACUUAGCAGCACUUGCAAAGAAAUCUUGUGCAGUAGUAGCAAAGGGAAACAGCAAUAUUUAGUCUGACAAGCUUUAACUCCAGUCACUGUCAGCCCAUUUUCAAAGGAAAAAAUUGCAGUCUGACUCAGGAUAAAUAUUAUAUGGACUGCUUUGUGGUAAAUCAUUCAUAAAGAAAGGUAGACUGUUCACCAAGAUUAUCUUUCUGAUUCAAAUGUAGCAAAAUGUUAGAUUUUACUUGGGCUCAUUUGUUUUCCUGAAAGACAUUUGAAUAAGCAAAAACCUGUAGAUCUCUCUCUUCUGGUUCCUUUGUUGAGGCAAUAGCUACCACACACAAAGGGACUGUAUAGGCAGGAUAAAGGCAGCUUUAAUACCCUGCACAGUUCCCAACAGCUGGAUGUAGUGUGCAGCUCUGCCAACAAGUCUGUGUAAGCCCAGCAGCACAAAUGAGGUGGUGACACACCAGCAACAACUGCUCUUUGGAAUGUACUCACCAUCAGUUUACUGGAAACAUCUUCCAGCUCCACUGGUCUCCCUUUAGUUUUUGGAUACCUUCCUAGAGCCUUUCUAUUUAACCCCUGAAUCCCUGAACUGCAGACAGUCUUACAUUGACUCACUUACUUUUGCUUGCAGUUUUACUUUUCUUAUCUCACUGGGUUUCCAUCCAUAUAUUUUCUUACAGUUUCCUCAGCAGGAAUGCAGCUUUCCCAGAUGUUUGUGUUGAGUUUACACAGUUAUGCCAGGUCAUUGCUUGGCUGUGGAUCAGGGAGCAUUGAUCAUUCAGAAGGGAGGUUGCCAAUCUGACAGGUGACAGAUCUGCCAGCUCUUCCCAGAAAGAGACUGAGAACCGACAGGAGGAAAUCGAAUGCACUUUAAAUCUGAAAUCUGUCAUCAGAGUAGCAGUCUUCACAAACUCAACUUUUCAAAGAAGGAAAUGUAUAUUUGCACAUUUUUAUAAUACCUAGUAUAAUAGGCCUUUAAUUUUCACUGAGGCCUCUGAAGUGUUGUGUUAUAAAUAUUUCAUAAUCAUGUAGCUGUGUCUCCAUCUCUGUGUACAUCGUCUUCAAACAAGCAGGAAAUAUUGCUGUUUAUCAUGCCCAGCAGCCACUUAAUAUGUGUAACAGGAUGGGCUUUAGUACAGCAGGCUAUCUGAUCACCCCUGUGGAUAAUUUACUGCUGUUUUUCUUCAGUCAGCCAUUCUCUUAACUGAAAAGGGGUGCAGGGGAGACUUAUUCCACUGUAAGGAGUGGAUUUGUAUUAGCUACAUGAAGCCUUGUUUAAACUUGCAGAAGAGUAUUGACACUAUCAAGUCAGAUGCCUGGAUGUCAAGUAUAAGUCCCUUAUAUAAUGACUGAAGCGUCCAGAAUGUAAUUCAGUACAUUUUGAAAAAUGUCAAUGCUUUAGAUUUAAGUUGUACUGAGGAACAACCAUAUGCUACAUUUAAAUAAACUUAAAAUCAGUUUAUAAGCAUUGUAUAAGGGUUCUAUAAGAAUAAGAAUGAAGGCUUAAAUGUGCCUUGCAACAUUACUUCUCUGACAGAUUAUUGAGCUGUACAUAAGAAUGCUUGUUUAGAUACGUGUAUAUAGAGAGACAGAGAGUGCUAUCCUAAACCGUAGAAGGUGUAAUGUCAGUUUUUGAUAGUCCACAGGAAGAUUACACAUUAAAUAUUGUAGAGAGAGAGAGAGACACUGUUAUUUCACGAGCGAUUUGAAAUCAGAUAAUGUCUGUAAAACGCUGAACUAUAUAUGUAUGGAGAUAUUAUACAUAUGUAAUAUGCUUAUUGUAUAUGCAUGCAAACACUUAAAUGUAUCAAUACGUAGAUGCAUUUUAUAUAAAUUAUUUAUAUACUUAUAUAUAUACACUGUGAUAUGAUCACUGCUGCCUCAGGGCAGCUGCCUACAUUCUCUAGGAAAGCAAAUUAUCUCUAGUACAAUACAUCUAUUAGUUAAUUACAGUAUUUGCAUACUUGAUUAUAAAAUAUAUAAAGUAUUUCUAGAUUUGAGAAUUCAUAGACUUUGAGUAGCUUAGUUUAUAAGUGCUCCAUAUUACCUAUGUUAUGUUAGAAUGGCACACUGGAAUGGGAAGAGGACAAAUGAAAUUAAAACAUUAAAUUUAUUACAGUUAUAAAAAUAUGUACACUUUUUAUACAACAAAUAAUUAGACGGUGAAACACCUUGUCGAAAAAUUGUGGAUAAUUGCCUAGUAGGAUGAAAACAGCUGAAUAUAAGUGAGUAAUUAUUAUACCCUGCGGAAUUGCAUUAACUAAACAAACAAUUUAUAAUGGAUAUCAAUAGUCAUUCUAUAUAAUAUAAGCUUACCUGCUUAACAAACUAGAAGAAACAUUCCCUACAGACAAGCAUUUGCAUAAUCCUCAAUUAGGUAUUUGGAGAGGCAUAAAUUUUAAGGCCAAGAGAGAUUGUUAAGAUCAUGUCACCUGACCUUUGAAUAAGCAUGUGCAGCAGAAUGCUGUUAAGUCAUUCCUGACUCAGCCCUUGGUUACCAGCUUUAUUUUAGGAAGAAGAAUUUUAAACUGUUUUCUUUCUAGUUUCAGAUUCUAACUUCUUAUUGGAAAGCUGCUGGAGACCUUUUCUUGCUAUGCUGUUAUUUGGAGUGAAUAAAGAAUCUUUUCUACUUUCAGCUCAGUAUUUGUGCAGCAUGUUUUCAAGUAUGACAAAUGAGCAGGAAGAAAUUGAGCUAGGAACAUCCUAGCUCCUAGGCUGUGUGUCCUGAUCAUGCCCCAGGUGUGUAUGAAAUGAGAACUCCUUCUAGGUGUGUACCAGUUUUCUGUUUCCUUUUCUGCCCCGUGUCCAUCUCCAUCGAUCAUCUCACACUCUGUGUUCCAGUAUUCUUAAAAUUAAGCCUAGGAAUAUGUGCUAGAACAGAGCCAAGUCAUGCAAGAUAAACAACUCCCUGCAAAUGUAUGCUUUAUUUAAAGGUCAGAAUUAGUAAUCAGCCCUUGCAGAUUUCGAAGAUUUUUAUCCUGGCAUGCUAUAGCAUACAUUUCAGGCUCCAGCUGAACUAUGAGCAGACAAGCUCAGGCCUUUUUAAAGAUUUUUUUAAGAUUUUUUCAAAAUCUUUAAAAAUGUGAAAACUCAGCAAGAAAAUCAAUGUUCAGUUCUGCCUAGAUUUCAAUUGAAGCUUCAUGUACACUUCAUUUCAGCAAGGUAAUCCUAAAGGGAUAAAAGUGUAGUGAUUCUUUUGUCACAACAAUUUCAAGAUCAGGCAGAAUAGAAUAAACAUGUCUUGGACUGUGCUGCUUUCUGACUGCUAAAACCAAAAUCUUUUAAUCCAGCCUUAGUGUCAAACUGAAGAAGGGUCUUCCUUUAAAAUCUUUGCUGCUUCUGCCAGCUUUUUCCUGCUCUUGUAUUCCAGCAC
rnacentral:lncRNA from 1 species